rnacentral:rRNA from 1 species
UGGGGAAUUUUGGACAAUGGACGCAAGUCUGAUCCAGCCAUGCCGCGUGCGGGAAGAAGGCCUUCGGGUUGUAAACCGCUUUUGUCAGGGAAGAAACGAGUUUCUCUAAUACAGAGACUUAAUGACGGUACCUGAAGAAUAAGCACCGGCUAACUACGUGCCAGCAGCCGCGGUAAUACAGAGGGUGCAAGCGUUAAUCGGAAUUACUGGGCGUAAAGCGCGCGUAGGUGGUUAGUUAAGUUGGAUGUGAAAUCCCCGGGCUCAACCUGGGAACUGCAUUCAAAACUGACUGACUAGAGUAUGGUAGAGGGUGGUGGAAUUUCCUGUGUAGCGGUGAAAUGCGUAGAUAUGCGGAGGAACACCGAUGGCGAAGGCAAUCCCCUGGACCUGUACUGACGCUCAUGCACGAAAGCGUGGGGAGCAAACA